GGCCUGACGGGAAGCGGCGCGCGCGGUAUUUUAGGCGACUGCAGUGGCGCGUGUGCUUGGGCGUGUUUUUCUUUCACACGUGCCAGCAGUGGGGUCGCCGCUGAGAGUGACUAAACUUUCUCUCCCUCUCCGAUCGCCGCAGGCCAAAGAGGUGAUUCUGCCUGCAUGAUGUCCUCCUUGGUGGAGGCGAGCUCUUUGCAGGCGCCACAUCGCGAUCAAAAAGAGAAAGAAAACAAGAAAAGAAAAAGUGGAAGAAGCAGCCAGGUUUUGGUAGGAGGGCAUCAUCCCCAAAUGUCAUCAGUAAGCAAGAGAAGCGUCUAAAGGAACUGGAGGAACUCAAAUUUGAAAUCCAGAAGUGUAAAUUCGAGAGGCAUGAACUUUAUCA
rnacentral:sRNA from 1 species